UGAGGAAUAUUGGUCAAUGGACAGAAGUCUGAACCAGCCAAGUCGCGUGAAGGAAGAAGGUCUUACGGAUUGUAAACUUCUUUAGCAGGGGAAUAAAAGACGAUACGAGUUAUCGUGUUGAAAGUACUUUGCGAAAAAGGAUCGGCUAACUCCGUGCCAGCAGCCGCGGUAAUACGGAGGAUCCGAGCGUUAUCCGGAUUUAUUGGGUUUAAAGGGUGCGUAGGCGGAUUGUUAAGUCAGCGGUGAAAUUUUGCAGCUUAACUGUAAAAUUGCCGUUGAAACUGAUGAUCUUGAGGAUAGUUGAGGUAAGUGGAAUGUGUUGUGUAGCGGUGAAAUGCAUAGAUAUAACACAGAACACCGAUUGCGAAGGCAGCUUACUAGACUAUAACUGACGCUGAGGUACGAAAGCGUGGGGAUCAAACAGG
rnacentral:rRNA from 2 species